rnacentral:rRNA from 1 species
UACGGAGGGUGCGAGCGUUGUUCGGAAUCACUGGGCGUAAAGCGCGUGUAGGCGGCCCACUAAGUCUGAUGUGAAAGCCCGAGGCUCACCCUCGGAAGUGCAUUGGAAACUGGUGGACUCGAGUCCCGGAGAGGAGAGUGGAAUUCCUGGUGUAGCGGUGAAAUGCGUAGAUAUCAGGAGGAACACCGGUGGCGAAGGCGGCUCUCUGGUCCGGUACUGACGCUGAGGUGCGAAAGCGUGGGGAGCAAACAGG